rnacentral:rRNA from 1 species
UACGGAGGGGGCUAGCGUUGUUCGGAAUUACUGGGCGUAAAGCGCACGUAGGCGGCUUUGUAAGUUAGAGGUGAAAGCCCGGAGCUCAACUCUGGAAUUGCCUUUUAGACUGCAUCGCUUGAAUCAUGGAGAGGUCAGUGGAAUUCCGAGUGUAGAGGUGAAAUUCGUAGAUAUUCGGAAGAACACCAGUGGCGAAGGCGACUAACUGGACAUGUAUUGACGCUGAGGUGCGAAAGCGUGGGGAGCAAACAGG